rfam:Marine metagenome 1096626167406, whole genome shotgun sequence.
AAAUGGGACAGCUCUCCCCAACGAGAGUCAACUAUCUGGAAGGGUAGAGAAC